rnacentral:tRNA from 1 species
GGGGAUUUAGCUCAGUGAUAGAGCGCUUGCCUAGCAAGCGCAAGGCCCUGGAUUCAGUCCCCA